CCUGGAGAUCUAGAUACCGGCAU
rnacentral:piRNA from 1 species